UACAGAGGGUGCGAGCGUUAAUCGGAAUUACUGGGCGUAAAGCGCACGUAGGCGGCUUGGUAUGUCGGGUGUGAAAUCCCCGGGCUCAACCUGGGAACUGCCUCCGAAACUGCCUUGCUAGAGUAUGGGAGAGGGAAGCGGAAUUUCCGGUGUAGCGGUGAAAUGCGUAGAUAUCGGAAGGAACAUCAGUGGCGAAGGCGGCUUCCUGGACCAAUACUGACGCUCAGGUGAGAAAGCGUGGGGAGCAAACAGG
rnacentral:rRNA from 1 species